rnacentral:lncRNA from 1 species
GAAGCGCUGAAGAAGGUGCACAAGACAUGUUCGACGGUGUAGAGUUCUUGACAUUUGUGUGCAUACGUUUAGCUUUGGCAUGGUUUGCAUGUAGGUGAUUCCGUAUGUGUGGUACAUGGCGGCUGCUACGUUUCCUGCAGGAAUGCUCGGUACGUGAAGAACAUCCUAGAAUGCAUACUCACCUUGUCAUUGCCCUAAUCUGCAUGGUUGCAGAGAUCUCAUGUUGGAUGUAUACCAGCGAGCGACAAGUAGCACGGUUGAGGUUGGCGUUUCUCAGAGCAGUUCUUCACCAGGAUAUUGAAGCCUUUGACACAGAGUUAACCACCGCUAAGGUCAUGGCAGGAGCAACACACCACAUGAGCACCAUAC